rnacentral:rRNA from 1 species
UGGGGAAUUUUGCACAAUGGGCGCAAGCCUGAUGCAGCCAUGCCGCGUGUAUGAAGAAGGCCUUCGGGUUGUAAAGUACUUUCAGCGGGGAGGAAGGGAGUAAAGUUAAUACCUUUGCUCAUUGACGUUACCCGCAGGAGAAGCACCGGCUAACUCCGUGCCAGCAGCCGCGGUAAUACGGAGGGUGCAAGCGUUAAUCGGAAUUACUGGGCGUAAAGCGCACGCAGGCGGGUUGUUAAGUCAGAUGUGAAAUCCCCGGGCUCAACCUGGGAACUGCAGCUGAUACUGGCAAGCUUGAGUCUCGUAGAGGGGGGUAGAAUUCCAGGUGUAGCGGUGAAAUGCGUAGAGAUCUGGAGGAAUACCGGUGGCGAAGGCGGCCCCCUGGACGAAGACUGACGCUCAGGUGCGAAAGCGUGGGGAGCAAACAGG